UGGAGUAUAACAUAGUGGUAGAGCGCAUGCCUAGCAUACAUGAGGUCUUGGGUUCAAUCCCCAGUGCCUCUA
rnacentral:tRNA from 1 species